rnacentral:lncRNA from 1 species
AAACACUCCCCAAAUUUGGUGAAAAAUACAUAGAUUUAAGAAACUCAGCAAGGCCAGGCACACGCCUGUAGUCCCAGCACUUUGGAGAACAAGGGUGGUGGAUCACUUGAGCCCAGGAGUUUGAGACGAGUCUGGCCAACAUAGGGAGAUCCUGGUGUCUUAAAAAAAAAAAAAAAAAGUUAGCCAGGCCUGGUGGCAUGUCUCAGCUACUUGGGAGGCUGAGGUGAAAGGAUUACUUGAGCCUGGGAGGUUGAGACUGCAGUGAGCCGUCAUUGCACCACUGCACUCCAGCCUGGGUGAAAGAGCAAGGCCCUGUCUCAAGAAAAAAGAAAAAGAAGAAACUCCACAAAUCUGAAAUAUGAUAAAUUCAAAGAAAACAAUGUCCAGACACAUUGUUAUUAAUCUACUGGAAAUGAGAGGAAAUGAAAACUAUUUUGAAAGCAUCCAGAGAAACAUUACAAAACAGAAAUUAAAUGUUUUAUUGUAGCAGAACUCAAUGAAAUUGAAAAUGGAACAACAGAGGAAUAUUAGUGAAAUGAAAAGCUGGUUAUUUAAAAGGAUUAAUAAAAUUGAUAAACUUCUAGCCAGAUUGGCCAAGGAAAAAAAGAGAGAAGACAGAUUACUAACAUCAGGAAUGAAAAAGAUGACAUUACUACAGACCUUACAGAUAUUAAAAAGAUAUUAAGGGAAUACUACACACAACUCUAUGCUCAUACAUUGAAUAUCUUAGAUGAAAUAGACCAAUUCCUUGAAAGACACAAACUAUUAAAACUCACUCAAUAAGGGAAUGGAGUAGCUAGGCUAUUUGAGGCAAGGGGCACGUCAUUGGGAAACCUGAGGCUGGCUUGGCAGUUUUAACUCCAAUUUGAGCCUCAACUCAUCUUUAAGGCUUAGACAUUCCGGAUCUUGGGCACCAGCACUGUUGGUGAUGGGGGGCAUUUCUUCGUCACUGGAGCCCUUGACCACUCAGAUGGCCAUUUAGCUUCUGGAUAUCUCCUGGCUCACUGGCUUUCAGGACAUCUUCUGGGUGUGGCUUAGGAGUUGGAGUCUCCUUAGACUUCCUAUCUCCUUGACAUCUUUGACUCUUGAAGGAAUCCCUAAAUCUCCAACAUCUUUUUCCUAAAGUGAAAACUCUGAGAAGAUGCUGUCCCCUGUGCUGAGCCCCUUCAGACCCUCUACCCUCUGUCCUCUGCCUCUAGGUACUGCUCUUCUAUGGCCAGAGUUUGCUGGGACAUCACUCUCAUCCAUUGGGAUCUAAAGAACCUCCGCUUAGCCAUCAUGGAAACAUGGGGUGCUGAGGGAGAAAGGUGGACCUGGGAAGGAGCCAUGAUUGGGCCUCUGUCACCUUAAGUUUUAUGGAUUCAACAACUUUGAGAGAUCCUGCUGCUGACGGGACAUUCUCCAGCAAGGAUGGAGAUGGGUGCUCUGGUCUGAGAGUCCACGCUAUCCUGAGGAAUGUUGACAGCUGAAGGAUUCAAGGUUUCCUGAGAUCUUUGGACCAAAAAAAAAGCUCCUGGAUAUCAGGGCUGAGGAAGACAAGCUACCGUCUUAAUACCUGCUGGCAGAGUUCCCUAGAGACAGGCCUCUGAGGAAGGGGGGGCCCAGGCAGAGGAGCUGUGGAUGUUAAAGGGGACCCAGAAGGAGGAGCAUCUUCCCCAACCCCCAUAAACAGCAGAAGUUCAGCUUGUAUGGUCAAUCAACCUUGACCCUCCCAGCAGGAGUCAUCUUGCUACAAGCUGCCCUCAUCAGGAAGCCUGCCCAGAUGGCUGCAAAAGUCAGGAGAUACAAGCUUCAGCCAGAAGCAGAAUGGGAGCUGGGCACGAUGGCUCACACCUUUAAUCUCAGCACUUUGGGAGGCCAAGGCAGAAGGAUUGCUUGAGGUCAGGAGUUUGAGACCAGCCUGGCAAACAUGGUGACCCUGUCACUACAAAAAAUACAAAAAUUAGCUAGGUGUGGUGGCAGGUGUCUGUAAUCCCAGCUACUCAGGGGGCUGAGGCAGGAGAAUUGCUUGAACCCAGGAGGUAAAGGGUUGCAGUGAGGUGAGAUUGCAUCACUGCACUCCAGCCUGGGUGACAGAGCAAGACUCUAAAACAAAAAAACAAAAACAAAACAGAAUGGGGAUAGAUAGAAGGCCCAGCAGGCCUGGCGGGAGUUGCAUUCUCCCACACCAUGGGCAUUGUGGAACUUCUCUUAUUCCUCAUGCUGGGGCUUUCUUUCACAUUCCCUUCCUGUGGGAUUCCCCUCCCAUGCCAACCUCAGCAGCACUAGGGCCCUGGAGUCACACAGGCCAUGCUAGGAAAAGGGGUACAGGAAAGGUGAAGAGAUUAAUCAAUACGUGCUUUUCCAAAGAGCAAGCAAGUACAGUGUCAACAUGAGCUCCUUUCUGGCAAUCUCUCCUAGCUGGGAAACCAGGGGACUCGGUCACACGUGGUGAAGGUAGGAGUGAAGGGAUCAUAGAGAAGGCUGGGGAAGGUCCUGGGACACUAGACUCUUGACAGCCCCAGCCUCUGGUACACAGGGUGGAGUGGUCAGUGACAACAGUCCACAGGCUCAAGUAUGUCACCACGUGUUAUACUUGAAAGUGCUUUCUUAUACGUUAUCCCGUAUGAUCUACGUACCUGUGUUGUGGGGGAUACAGGCCAAGUGUAUCUCAAGGAGGAAUCUGAGCCUCCAGGAAGUUAAAUAUUUGUCCAAAAUCUGAAUCUCAAAGGUUUGCCUCCAGCUACUCUUCCCACUGCACCUCACAGCGCCAUCUAGUGGGUGAGACCCAUGGGCCGGCUCCAUCAUUCUUUCAUUUCAGGGGAUGGACAGAGCAGGCAAUCUCCUAAGCAUUCCAGAUUCGGAUUCCUUUUUAUGAGUGUCCCUGCUGGGGGCUUUAUCUUCUGAGAGUAAUGGGCUCUAGAAGCUGACACAGCCUCAGAGGCUGUGGACCGGGGUCCUCAUGGGAAAGGAGAGAUUAAGUUUAGACCUUGAGAGUUCUGGGCUGAACAGGCAGAACCUUCUACUGUUGACUGAAUGUUUAUAUCUCCCUAGUUCAUGUGUUGAAAUCCUAAUCCCCGGUCCAACAGUAUUAGGAAGCGAGGCUUUUGGGAGGUGAGUAGAUUGUGGCGGAGGAGCCUUCAUGAGUGGAAUUAGUGGCCUAAUAAAAGAGACCCCUGAGAACCCCGUUGUCUGUUUUACCAUGUGAGGACAUAGUGGGCGUCACCGGAUACUGAAUCUGCCAGUGCCCUGAUUUUGGCAUUUGCACCCUUCAGCAGUGUGAGAGAUCAAUU